GACGAACGCUGGCGGCGUGCCUAAUACAUGCAAGUAGAACGCAGUUGCGAACGGGUGAGUAACGCGUAGGUAACUGCCUCAUAGCGGGGGAUAACUAUUGGAAACGAUAGCUAAUACCGCAUACUGUGAGAUGGACCUGCGUUGUAUUAGCUAGUUGGUGAGGUAAAGGCUCACCAAGGCGACGAUACAUAGCCGACCUGGGAGGGUGCUGGGCUACAAGGGGACUGGGACACGGCCCAGGUGCCUACGGGAGGCAGCGGUAGGGAAUCUUGGGGAAUGGACGGAAGUCUGGACAAGCAACGCCGGGUGAGUGAAGAAGGUUUUCGGAUCGUAAAGCUCUGGUUUUUGAGGAGCGGUAACUAACCAGAAAGGGACGGCUAACUACGUGCCAGCAGCCGCGGUAAUUC
rnacentral:rRNA from 1 species